ensembl:lncRNA
GUGUGUGUGUGUGUGUGUGUGUGUGUGUGUGUGUGUGUGUGUGGCAGGGUGGGUGUGUGUGUGGCAGGGUGUGUGUAUGUGUGUGUGUGGCAGGGUGUGUGUAUGUGUGUGUGUGUGGCAGAGUGUGUGUAUGUGUGUGUGGCAGGGUGUGUGUGUGUGUGGCAGGGUGUGUGCGUGUGUGUGGCAGGGUGUGUGUAUGUGUGUGUGUGGCAGGGUGUGUGUAUGUGUGUGUGUGGCAGAGUGUGUGUAUGUGUGUGUGGCAGGGUGUGUGAAUGUGUGCGUGUGGCAGGGUGUGUGAAUGUGUGCGUGUGGAAGGGUGUGUGAAUGUGUGUGUGGCAGGGUGUGUGUAUGUGUGUGUGUGGCAGGGUGUGUAUGUGUGUGUGGCAGGGUGUGUGGCAGGGUGUGUGUGUGUGUGUGGCAGGGUGUGUGUAUGUGUGUGUGUGGCAGAGUGUGUGUGUGUGUGUGGCAGGGUGUGUGAAUGUGUGUGUGUGGCAGGGUGUGUGUAUGUGUGUGUGUGGCAGAGUGUGUGUAUGUGUGUGUGGCAGGGUGUGUGUACGUGUGUGGCAGGGUGUGUGUAUGUGUGUGUGGCAGGGUGUGUGUACGUGUGUGGCAGGGUGUGUGUAUGUGUGUGUGUGGCAGGGUGUGUGUAUGUGUGUGUGUGGCAGAGUGUGUGUGUGCGUGGCAGGGUGUGUGUAUGUGUGUGUGUGGCAGAGUGUGUGUAUGUGUGUGUGGCAGGGUGUGUGUAUGUGUGUGUGUGGCAGAGUGUGUGUGUGUGUGUGGCAGGGUGUGUGUACGUGUGUGUGUGGCAGGGUGUGUAUGUGUGUGUGGCAGGGUGUGGCAUGUGUGGUAGUGUGUGAAUGUGUGUGUGGCAGGGUGUGUGAAUGUGUGUGUGUGGCAGGGUGUGUGUAUGUGUGUGUGU